AAUUAAUGAACUUGUAUAAGUAUAUAUUUUGAAAAUAUAAAAAAGAAGAUAAUCUUCUAUUAAUUU
rnacentral:tRNA from 1 species